AUCACUGCAUAGGUUGAAUUCCUCAAGCGGUUCCAAGACUUGCUGUGGACUAGAACUGCAAUCAGUAGAGGUAUAGAAACUGUCAGUUGCUGGAACAGGAUCCGUUUGGAAUAAGGCAGAUAAAUGCACUAAGAGACUGCUGAGAACUGAUUGGGCAUCAAGACACUGAACUGUAGGAAAUAAUGGAGCCUGACUGUGAGAACUGUCUGUAUUCAAACAUGUUAAGAGCUGAAUAUUUAAAAUUUGUUUGGCUCACCAAGCUUGGCUUUCUGAAGACAACAGAAGUGGGAUAGAGAGAUCAAAAAGAAAAAAAAAAUCAU
rnacentral:lncRNA from 10 species